GAGGAAGUAAAAGUCAUAACAAGGUUUCCGUAGGUGAACCUGCGGAAGGAUCAUUAAUAGUGCCCUCUGAUGCAAAUCAUUGGGUUAGAUCUGCUCUCUUCGCAAGAAGAGGGUUUCCAUACACACCGUGAACUGUGGCUUCGGCCAUCACAAACUGUUAGUAAUGAAUGUAAUAUCAUAACAAAAACAAAACCUUUAACAACGGAUCUCUUGGCUCUCGCAUCGAUGAAGAACGCAGCGAAAUGCGAUAAGUAAUGUGAAUUGCAGAAUUCAGUGAAUCAUCGAAUCUUUGAACGCACCUUGCGCCCUUUGGUAUUCCGAAGGGCAUGCCUGUUUGAGUGUCAUGAAACCUCACCCCACUUGGGUUUUUGCCUGAGCGGUGGUGUAUUGGGUGUUGCCUUGCUAAAGGCUCGCCUUAAAGACAUAAGCACCUUGGAUGUAAUACGUUUCAUCCUUCUGGGUGGCUGAUAACCCCACAUAUUCAUGAUCUGGCCUCAAAUCAGGUAGGGCUACCCGCUGAACUUAAGCAUAUCAAUAAGCGGAGGAAAAGAAACUAACUAGGAUUCCCUUAGUAACGGCGAGUGAACCGGGAUGAGCUCAAAUUUAAAAUCUGGCGUCUUUCAGGCGUCCGAGUUGUAAUCUAUAGAGGCGUUUUCCGCGCCGGACCGCGUCCAAGUCUCUUGGAAUAGAGUAUCAAAGAGGGUGACAAUCCCGUACUUGACGCGACAACCGGUGCUCUGUGAUACGUUCUCAAUGAGUCGAGUUGUUUGGGAAUGCAGCUCUAAAUGGGUGGUAAAUUCCAUCUAAGGCUAAAUAUUGGCGAGAGACCGAUAGCGAACAAGUACCGUGAGGGAAAGAUGAAAAGCACUUUGGAAAGAGAGUUAAACAGCACGUGAAAUUGUUAAAAGGGAAACGAUUGAAGUCAGUCGUGUGAAAGGUAUUCAGCCGUCUCUGGCGGUGUAUUUGCCUUUCACGGGUCAACAUCAGUUUGAUCCGGUAGAAAAAGGCAGGAGGAAGGUGGCACCCUCGGGUGUGUUAUAGCCUCUUGUCAUAUGUGCCGGACCAGACUGAGGAACGCAGCUUGCCGCAAGGCCGGGGUUCGCCCACGUACAAGCUUAGGAUGUUGACAUAAUGGCUUUAAA
rnacentral:rRNA from 1 species